ACGAAGGGUGCAAGCGUUAAUCGGAAUUACUGGGCGUAAAGCGCGCGUAGGUGGUUUUGUAAGUUGGAGGUGAAAUCCCCGGGCUCAACCUGGGAACUGCCUCCAAAACUGCAUGACUAGAGUACGGUAGAGGGUGGUGGAAUUUCCUGUGUAGCGGUGAAAUGCGUAGAUAUAGGAAGGAACACCAGUGGCGAAGGCGACCACCUGGACUGAUACUGACACUGAGGUGCGAAAGCGUGGGGAGCAAACAG
rnacentral:rRNA from 1 species